ACAUGGAGUUGACAUGGCCUUGCAGCGGGAACGGGAACACCAGUACGUGAUCCGCCAUGCUCCCCCUUCUCAGCUCCUUCCGGUUGGAGUGGAAGCAAUAAUGCCUCCUUCCAUCUCCUUGCAUAGAUGGAUGGUUCUCAAAUCAAAAUGGACCUCACAAACUGUGACCAUGGAUGGAUAGCUAACAAUUAGAUCAAAAUAGACCACUGAAUUGCAAUGUUCGCUUUCAUGACAGCGGAGUGGUGGCAGCAUUUGUAUUAAACUUGUACAGGUUCGUAUGAUAGUUAAUAAUUCAAAUUAGAAUUUGGUAUUUGGUAUUCGAGAGAUAGGAGAUUUGAAUUUGGAUUUUAUCCUUUACGAGAUUAAAUGUGAUAUGUUUUAUGGAGAGUCUUG
rnacentral:lncRNA from 1 species